AUUGAACGCUGGCGGCAGGCCUAACACAUGCAAGUCGAGCGGAUGAAGGGAGCUUGCUCCUGGAUUCAGCGGCGGACGGGUGAGUAAUGCCUAGGAAUCUGCCUGGUAGUGGGGGAUAACGUCCGGAAACGGGCGCUAAUACCGCAUACGUCCUGAGGGAGAAAGUGGGGGAUCUUCGGACCUCACGCUAUCAUAUGAGCCUAGGUCGGAUUAGCUAGUUGGUGGGGUAAAGGCCUACCAAGGCGACGAUCCGUAACUGGUCUGAGAGGAUGAUCAGUCACACUGGAACUGAGACACGGUCCAGACUCCUACGGGAGGCAGCAGUGGGGAAUAUUGGACAAUGGGCGAAAGCCUGAUCCAGCCAUGCCGCGUGUGUGAAGAAGGUCUUCGGAUUGUAAAGCACUUUAGGUUGGGAGGAAGGGCAGUAAGUUAAUACCUUGCUGUUUUGACGUUACCAACAGAAUAAGCACCGGCUAACUUCGUG
rnacentral:rRNA from 1 species